UACGUAGGUGGCAAGCGUUAUCCGGAUUUAUUGGGUGUAAAGGGCGUGUAGGCGGGAGCGCAAGUCAGAUGUGAAAACUCAGGGCUCAACCCUGAGCCUGCAUUUGAAACUGUGUUUCUUGAGUGCUGGAGAGGCAAUCGGAAUUCCGUGUGUAGCGGUGAAAUGCGUAGAUAUUAGGAGGAACACCAGUGGCGAAGGCGGCCUGCUGGGCUUUUACUGACGCUGAGGCUCGAAAGUGUGGGGAGCAAACAGG
rnacentral:rRNA from 1 species